GAUGAACGCUGGCGGCGUGCUUAACACAUGCAAGUCGAACGGAAAGGCCCAAGCUUGCUUGGGUACUCGAGUGGCGAACGGGUGAGUAACACGUGGGUGAUCUGCCCUGCACUUCGGGAUAAGCCUGGGAAACUGGGUCUAAUACCGGAUAGGACCACGUCUUGGAUGUUGUGGUGGAAAGUUUUUUCGGUGUGGGAUGAGCUCGCGGCCUAUCAGCUUGUUGGUGGGGUAAUGGCCUACCAAGGCGUCGACGGGUAGCCGGCCUGAGAGGGUGUACGGCCACAUUGGGACUGAGAUACGGCCCAGACUCCUACGGGAGGCAGCAAUGGGGAAUAUUGCACAAUGGGCGCAAGCCUGAUGCAGCGACGCCGCGUGGGGGAUGAAGGCCUUCGGGUUGUAAACUCCUUUCGCUAGGGACGAAGCGUUUUUGUGACGGUACCUGGAGAAGAAGCACCGGCUAACUACGUG
rnacentral:rRNA from 1 species